rnacentral:lncRNA from 1 species
UGCAAUGACAAUGAAAAAAAUAGAGGAAGAACAUUCCAAUUGGUGGUGGCACACUACCAAAAACGGUGGCAGCACAAUUCCCAAGGCAGCGCACGGUGCCCAAGUAGCGACGACACACUAUCUGAGGCAGCACCGCGCCUCACCAAGUCAGUCGCGCGUAGCAUGCCUAGCCUACAGGUGCACUGGCCAAUCCUACUGUGUGCAGGGCCUAGAGCACGCAAGGUGCUGUGUGUAGGCCUACUGCGAGAGCCUACUGCACGGAUGAUACGCGCACAUAGCGCCUGACAUCGUGCUAGUCUGUGCACGAUGGGAUGCGCACAGACUGUCCUCGUACUCCGUG